CUUACAUGAAUUGACGGGGCCGCACAAGCGGAGGAGCAUGUGGUUUAAUUCGAUGAUACGCGAGGAACCUUACCUGGGCUCGAACGUAAGAUGACUGUAGGUGAAAGCUUACAUCUCUUCGGAGCAUUUUACGAGGUGCUGCAUGGUUGUCGUCAGCUCGUGCCGUGAGGUGUCGGGUUAAGUCCCAUAACGAGCGCAACCCUACCUUUAGUUGCCAUCAGGUAAUGCUGGGGACUCUAAAGGAACUGCCUACGCAAGUAGUGAGGAAGGCGGGGAUGACGUCAAAUCAGCACGGCCCUUACGUCCAGGGCUACACACGUGCUACAAUGGCCGAUACAAAGGGCAGCUACCUGGUGACAGGAUGCUAAUCUCAAAAGCCGGUCUCAGUUCGGAUCGGAGUCUGCAACCCGACUCCGUGAAGCUGGAAUCGCUAGUAAUCGCGCAUCAGCCAUGGCGCGGUGAAUACGUUCCCGGGCCUU
rnacentral:rRNA from 1 species